rnacentral:rRNA from 1 species
CAGUAUGGGAGUGAGAAUGUUGGCAUGAGUAGCGAGAUGUGGGUGAGAAUCCCACAGGCCGUAAACCCAAGGUUUCCAGGGGAAGGUUCGUCCGCCCUGGGUUAGUCGGGACCUAAGCUGAGGCCGAAAGGCGUAGGUGAUGGACAACAGGUUGAUAUUCCUGUACUACCGAUAACCGUUUGAGAGAAGGGAUGACACAGUAGGAUAAGCUAAGCACACUGUUGGUUAUGUGUGCCCAAGCAUUGAGGCAGUCAAAGUAGGUAAAUCCGCUUUGAUAAUGCUGGGAUGUGAUGGGGAGCGAAAUUUAGUAGCGAAGUAGCUGAUUUCACACUGUCAAGAAAAGUCUCUAUCGAGGUUAAAAGGUACCCGUACCGCAAACCGACACAGGUGGGUGAGGAGAGUAUCCUAAGGCCAAGCGAGAGAACUGUUGUUAAAGGAACUCGGCAAAAUGACCCCGUAACUUAGGGAUAAGGGGUGCCACCAUCAGGUGGCCGCAGAGAAUAGGCCCAAGCGACUGUUUACCAAAAACAUAGGUUUCUGCUAAGUCGCAAGACGAUGUAUAGGAGCUGACGCCUGCCCGGUGCUGGAAGGUUAAGGGGAUCUGUUAGAGCAAUCGAAGCAGUGAACUUAAGCCCCAGUAAACGGCGGCCGUAACUAUAACGGUCCUAAGGUAGCGAAAUUCCUUGUCGGGUAAGUUCCGACCCGCACGAAAGGCGUAACGAUUUGGGCACUGUCUCAACAACAGACUCGGUGAAAUUGUAAUUCCGGUGAAGAUGCCGGAUACCUGCGACAGGACGGAAAGACCCCAUGGAGCUUUACUGUAGCUUGACAUUGGGUCUUGGUACUACAUGUACAGGAUAGGUGGGAGGCUUUGAAACCAGGACGCCAGUUUUGGCGGAGCCAUCCUUGGGAUACCACCCUUGUAGUACUGGGACUCUAACCAUAGGCCAUGAAUCUGGUCUUGGGACACUGUCAGGUGGGCAGUUUGACUGGGGCGGUCGCCUCCCAAAAGGUAACGGAGGCGCUCAAAGGUUCUCUCAGUACGGUCGGAAAUCGUACGUAGAGUGUAAAGGCAAAAGAGAGCUUGAUUGCAAGACAUACAGGUCGAGCAAGGAUGAAAAUCGGACUUAGUGAUCCGGUGGUUCUGCGUGGAAGGGCCAUCGCUCAACGGAUAAAAGCUACCCUGGGGAUAACAGGCUUAUCUCCCCCAAGAGUCCACAUCGACGGGGAGGUUUGGCACCUCGAUGUCGGCUCAUCACAUCCUGGGGCUGUAGUAGGUCCCAAGGGUUGGGCUGUUCGCCCAUUAAAGUGGUACGCGAGCUGGGUUCAGAACGUCGUGAGACAGUUCGGUCCCUAUCCGUCGCAGGCGUAGGAAAUUUGAGAAGACCUGUCCUUAGUACGAGAGGACCGGGAUGGACGUACCUCUGGUGUACCAGUUGUCCUGCCAAGGGCAUGGCUGGGUAGCUAUGUACGGAAUGGAUAAGCGCUGAAAGCAUCUAAGCGCGAAGCCAACUUCAAGAUAAGAUUUCCCACCGCAAGGGUAAGACCCCAGAAAGACUAUCUGGUUGAUAGGUCGAAGGUGUAAGUGCAGCAAUGUAUUUAGCUUAUCGAUACUAAUAGGUCGAGGACUUGACCAA